rnacentral:tRNA from 1 species
GCUAACGUAGCUUAGUUAAAGCAUAACACUGAAGAUGUUAAGACAGGCCCUAGAAAGCCUCGUAAGCA